CCUACGGGAGGCAGCAGUGGGGAAUAUUGCACAAUGGGGGAAACCCUGAUGCAGCGACGCCGCGUGAGUGAAGAAGUAUUUCGGUAUGUAAAGCUCUAUCAGCAGGGAAGAAAAUGACGGUACCUGAUUAAGAAGCCCCGGCUAACUACGUGCCAGCAGCCGCGGUAAUACGUAGGGGGCCAGCGUUAUCCGGAUUUACUGGGUGUAAAGGGGGCGUUGACGGCAGCACAAGGCUGGAGGGAAAUGCCGGGGCUUAACCCCGGAACUGCUUUGGAAACUGUGCAGCUAGAGUGCAGGAGAGGUAAGUGGAAUUCCUAGUGUAGCGGUGAAAUGCGUAGAUAUUAGGAGGAACACCAGUGGCGAAGGCGGCUUACUGGACUGUAACUGACGUUGAGGCUCGAAAGCGUGGGGAGCAAACAGGAUUAGAUACCCCGGUAGUC
rnacentral:rRNA from 1 species